rnacentral:tRNA from 2 species
UCCCCGAUAGCUCAGCGGUAGAGCGGCCGGCUGUUAACCGGUAGGUCGUAGGUUCGAAUCCUACUCGGGGAGCCA